CUGCUAGCCAGGGUAGGAGUUAGAUGAGGAGGUGGAGGAUUCAGCCAUGGCAGACGUCCAGGGGACCAGGAGAGAGUGCUCAGCAAGGAAAGCUACAAAGUGUGUGGCGAUACGGCGCUGCUUCUCAGCAGCUGGUGAUGAUUUGCCUUGUGCUCUAGCAGAGUGUGCUUUUGCCAGCUGCAGAUGGUUUCUGUGAUUGUGUGGCAUUUGGAACCUGGGAAGUUUUCAGAAGGUGCAUAAAUGUGAGGGCCCUGACAGGCGGUGUGUGGUGAUGGGAAGGUUGGUGGUUGUUAGUAAUCAUGCUCACAGAAGAAACAGGAAUAAAGAAUUAGAUUCACAGA